rnacentral:tmRNA from 1 species
GGGGGCGUACUGGUUUCGACGGGGAUGGGGAAGCAGGAUCAGCGAGCGGCGGCGCCUGUCCGCCAUAAAACGGGCAAUUAUAAAUCAAAUAACAACGACAAUUACGUUGCUGUCGCUGCCUGAUUAGGCGCGACCGUCUCGACCGGAAGGGCCACGAGCCGGCUUGGGGCGUGACUUAAGUGGCGAACGUGCGUACGGUAAGCUUUGCCCGUGGCUCACGCCAGCAUGAGGGAAUGUAAAUAACCGUCUGCGCUCGGAGAAAGUUCUGUGGGUCUGUUUUCGGACGCGGGUUCGAUUCCCGCCGCCUCCACCA